UGUAAAUGUGCUAUUGUAUAUAUAGAGAGGUGAAAUGCUAAGGUCUCCAUAUACAAACCCAAGACUCUGAUACGCUAAAAGCAGAGUGGUCUUCCAAGAAUCCUUCUAAAAAAUCGAUUAACGAUCAAUAUUUGAAGAAUGUAGCAGCCCAAAUAGGAACGUACAAGGGAAACUUUAAAGUACACUUUACUAACAAACACUGCAUAUAAUGGCAAGUUGGACCCAUAAUUGUUGUAAAUAAAUGACAAGAACUGUGAAUUAAAAAUCUUUGAAGUGCCCCAGCAACUCCCAUAGUCAAGAUCCAUGGUUCUUGAACGUUAAUCUUUGUUCAAAAUUGCAGGUAAUUGUAAUAAUUUACUGUAGAUCAUCAAAGAAUCAGAUAUACGAAAUUAGCCCCAAAAAAAAAAUAAAAAAUGAAGAGAUAAUACAACAAGAAAACACCAAAUGAUAGCCUAAUAGCUCUAAUUUCAAACCAAAAAUAUGUAAAAAGCAACAACCAUUGCCUACUUCUUACUAAACACAUGUGCCAUGCUCACACCUUCCGCAUUUUCAAUAAGAUGACAUCUGUAAUCUUAAGAACAUUAAAUGAGGCCUCAAAGCCAUCUUUAUCAAAAUCAUUAGCAAAAUGUGAGCGCCAAAUUAAUUGAAACUCAUCCAUUUGCUACACUUUCUUCCUUUGUGGUUGACCAUAAGGAAAAUAAAAAGAAUAGCACCACUUGCUUUAAAAGCUGACAAUGGUAGCUCAAGAUAUGAAUACAUGGCUCUGAUUUCACCUAAAACUAAUUCAACUAUGGCUCAAUAAGGAUCUCGAAAGCAUUCUAAAUAAAACUAAUUGGCAACACUUACCAGGUUUAAAAGCAAAUACGAAUACAAAUUCUGUGAAGGCCUUGAAAUUGUGAAAGAUAAAAGGUAGAGGAAUGUACCAGUUUCAUCCUGUGUCAUCUUGCGUAUAGAGGCUGCACCACGUGAUUGUAGUAUGGACCACCCACUGACCACCGUGCAUUCAC
rnacentral:lncRNA from 1 species